rnacentral:rRNA from 1 species
UACGUAGGGAGCAAGCGUUGUUCGGAUUUACUGGGCGUAAAGGGCGCGUAGGCGGCAUAUUAAGUCAUCUGUGAAAUCUCCGAGCUUAACUCGGAACUGUCAGCUGAUACUGAUGUGCUAGAGUGCGGAAGGGGCAAUCGGAAUUCUUGGUGUAGCGGUGAAAUGCGUAGAUAUCUGGAGGAACACCGGUGGCGAAGGCGGCAUCCUGGACCAACACUGACACUGAUGAGCGAAAGCCAGGGGAGCAAACGGG